AACGAACGCUGGCGGCAGGCCUAACACAUGCAAGUCGAGCGAGACCUUCGGGUCUAGCGGCGGACGGGUGAGUAACGCGUGGGAACGUGCCCUUUUCUACGGAAUAGCCUCGGGAAACUGAGCGUAAUACCGUAUACGCCCUUUGGGGGAAAGAUUUAUCGGAGAAGGAUCGGCCCGCGUUGGAUUAGGUAGUUGGUGGGGUAAUGGCCUACCAAGCCUACGAUCCAUAGCUGGUUGGAGAGGAUAAUCAGCCACACUGGGACUGAGACACGGCCCAGACUCCUACGGGAGGCAGCAGUGGGGAAUCUUAGACAAUGGGAGCAACCCUGAUCUAGCCAUGCCGCGUGAGUGAUGAAGGCCUUAGGGUUGUAAAGCUCUUUCAGCUGGGAAGAUAAUGACGGUACCAGCAGAAGAAGCCCCGGCUAACUCCGUG
rnacentral:rRNA from 1 species